UACUCCUACGGGAGGCAGCAGUAGGGAAUCUUCCGCAAUGGACGCAAGUCUGACGGAGCAACGCCGCGUGAGUGAAGAAGGUUUUCGGAUCGUAAAACUCUGUUGUUAGAGAAGAACAAGUGCUAGAGUAACUGUUAGCGCCUUGACGGUAUCUAACCAGAAAGCCACGGCUAACUACGUGCCAGCAGCCGCGGUAAUACGUAGGUGGCAAGCGUUGUCCGGAUUUAUUGGGCGUAAAGCGAGCGCAGGCGGUUCCUUAAGUCUGAUGUGAAAGCCCCCGGCUCAACCGGGGAGGGUCAUUGGAAACUGGGGAACUUGAGUGCAGAAGAGGAGAGUGGAAUUCCAUGUGUAGCGGUGAAAUGCGUAGAUAUAUGGAGGAACACCAGUGGCGAAGGCGACUCUCUGGUCUGUAACUGACGCUGAGGCUCGAAAGCGUGGGUAGCAAACAGGAUUAGAUACCCUGGUAGUCCACGCCGUAAACGAUGAGUGCUAAGUGCUGGAGGGUUUCCGCCCUUCAGUGCUGCAGUUAACGCAUUAAGCACUCCGCCUGGGGAGUACGACCGCAAGGUUGAAACUCAAAGGAAUUGACGGA
rnacentral:rRNA from 1 species